rnacentral:lncRNA from 1 species
AAUUUCUUCAAUGAAAUUGUAAAUAUAAAACCCAUAGAGUAAAUGAUAAAUAUUUUUAGCAACUAAAUUUCUAAACAAUUCACAACCAUUCCCAAAACUCGGUGUCACAAGUGCAUGAGCAUUUACUAGGGAAUUAAAAAUAAAAUACAGCAUCUGUCUAGAAUACAAAUUAGACAGGAAAAUAUAAUAACUCUGAAGGAGACUCUGUUAGCUGCGGAUCGUAAUAUAGAAUGCAGCUCACCUAUGUCUCCACAAUUAUUAACCACACCUCUGCGCCCACAAGGUCGCGAUACAUAUAUGUACCUGCACAACAAAAUAUGUAGCAAGUGCAAUAUGAGUACGAAAAUAACGUGUACCCAGUAAGUAUCAAGCCUAAUCUCGAAGUGGUAGAGACGAGAUAGCCGACUUUGACACUCACUAUGCGUCAAUAAUAAUAAUUAAAAUAAAUUAUAAUUAUUCAAAUCAGCAUGGUUCACAGAGUUAACAAUAAUUUUAUUCAAUUAGCAGAAAUAAUAAAAAUCCUUCAAAUGCAACAAUUUUCCAAUUUAUUUAUUUAAAUCAUGCAAUUUCAAUAAAACUUCUAAUUUAUCAAAUAGCUUUACAAGUUGCAAUUCAAUUUCAAUAAAUUUUCAAUUUAUCAAUUAAAACUCAUUUACAGGAAUAACAAUUAAUUCCUUAACAAGCAAGACUAAUAAUUCAUUAAACUCCAAGAAUUUUUUAAUUUAUCAAUUAGCUUCGCAAGCUGAAAUAAAUUAUUAAAGUAUCGUGUAAUUAUUAUUAUUAUUAAGCACGAUUUCUGCGGAGAACGUACGGCCCGAUCCAGAGUGUCGUGUACACUAUCGAGGGACGUGCGGUGUGAUCCAUAGAUGCAUCUAUCAUGCCGAAGCAUUCGGACCGCUCCACAAAAAAGGAGGACAUUUUCUUAUGUACCUCCGGAAGAAGAGUAUAUUUAUUAUGAGAUAAAUUCGGGAGGAGAAUAAUUUCUUUUAACAAUUAAUUAAUUUAAACAGAAAAUCAAGCAUAUGAUAUUUUCAUCCUUUAAUAUCUUUAUCUAACAAUUCACAAUAUAUUCAUAUAUAUCAAUUAAUAUUAAUUAAUAAAGGAAUGCAAUUUACACAAGUAAUUCAUGCUUUGAGCCCUAAACUACCCGGACUUUAGCAUUAAUAGUAGCUACGCACGGACUCCCGUCACCUCAUGCGUACGUAGCCCCCGCAAUUAACAACAAUUAUUCAAUUUAAUCCAUAUGGGGUAAUUUUCCCUUCACAAGAUUAGACAAGAGACUUACCUCGUCUCAAAGUCCACUUUCCAAUUAUCGCGUCGCGUAAAAUUCUCGAUUCGAUGCUGAAAAAUCCGAAACU